rnacentral:rRNA from 1 species
AUGCCUGUACCAUAACCGACACAGGUGGGUAAGUAGAGUAUACUAAGGGGCGCGAGAUAACUCUCUCUAAGGAACUCGGCAAAAUAACUCCGUAACUUCGGGAGAAGGAGUGCCUUAUUCUUAAGGUUGCAAUAACAAGAUCCAAGCAACUGUUUAUCAAAAACACAGGUCUCCGCUAAGUCGUAAGACGAUGUAUGGGGGCUGACGCCUGCCCAGUGCCAGAAGGUUAAAGAAGUCGGUUAGCAAUAGCAAAGCUGGUAACUGAAGCCCUGGUGAACGGCGGCCGUAACUAUAACGGUCCUAAGGUAGCGAAAUUCCUUGUCGGGUAAGUUCCGACCCGCACGAAAGGCGUAAUGAUUUGGAUGCUGUCUCGGAGAGGGGCUCGGUGAAAUAGACUUGUCUGUGAAGAUGCGGACUACCUGCACCAGGACAGAAAGACCCUAUGAAGCUUUACUGUAACUUGAAAUUGAAAUUGGACUUUAUUCGCGCAGUAUAGGUGGGAGGCGUUGAUUAUAAUCUUGUGGGAUUAUUGGAGCCAUCAGUGAGAUACCACUCCUGUAAUGUUAGAUUUCUAACUUUGAAUCAUUAUCUGGUCAAAGGACAGUUUCAGGCGGGCAGUUUGACUGGGGCGGUCGCCUCCUAAACGGUAACGGAGGCGUACAAAGGUUUCCUCUGAACGGUUAGAAAUCGUAUCUAGAGUGUAAAGGCAUAAGGAAGCUUGACUGUGAGACCUACAAGUCGAGCAGGGACGAAAGUCGGUCUUAGUGAUCUGACGGUACUGAGUGGAAAGGCCGUCACUCAACGGAUAAAAGUUACUCUAAGGAUAACAGGCUGAUCUCCCCCAAGAGUUCACAUCGACGGGGAGGUUUGGCACCUCGAUGUCGGCUCAUCGCAUCCUGGGGCGGUAGUACGUCCCAAGGGUUGGGCUGUUCGCCCAUGAAAGCGGUACGCGAGCUGGGUUCAGAACGUCGUGAGACAGUUCGGUCCAUAUCCGGUGUAGGCGCUAGAAUAUUGAGAGGAGCCUUCUUUAGUACGAGAGGACCGAGAAGGACAUACCUCUGGUGUACCAGUUAUCGUGCCAACGGUAAACGCUGGGUAGCUAUGUAUGGAGUGGAUAACCGCUGAAAGCAUCUAAGUGGGAAGCCCACCUCAAGAUAAGUAUUCUCAUCAUGUAAGUGAGUAAGGUCACGGUAAGACUAACCGUUUGAUAGGCAUUAAGUGUGAGUACAGUAAUGUAUGUGCUGAGAUGUCCUAAUAGACCGAGGACUU